UGGGAGCUUGCUCCCUGAUGUUAGCGGCGGACGGGUGAGUAACACGUGGGUAACCUGCCUGUAAGACUGGGAUAACUCCGGGAAACCGGGGCUAAUACCGGAUGCUUGUUUGAACCGCAUGGUUCAAACAUAAAAGGUGGCUUCGGCUACCACUUACAGAUGGACCCGCGGCGCAUUAGCUAGUUGGUGAGGUAACGGCUCACCAAGGCAACGAUGCGUAGCCGACCUGAGAGGGUGAUCGGCCACACUGGGACUGAGACACGGCCCAGACUCCUACGGGAGGCAGCAGUAGGGAAUCUUCCGCAAUGGACGAAAGUCUGACGGAGCAACGCCGCGUGAGUGAUGAAGGUUUUCGGAUCGUAAAGCUCUGUUGUUAGGGAAGAACAAGUACCGUUCGAAUAGGGCGGUACCUUGACGGUACCUAACCAG
rnacentral:rRNA from 1 species